UUCUGGAAGGCCUAGAUCCUCCCCGACGACCCGGAGGGAGUAAUUAUUAGGGUUGUUUCCACGAUUUCCUAGUCCCUUACUCCCCACUAUUCAGUUUCAUCAUACAUCAUUCUCCGUCAAAUUGUCGAUUUUCCAAAUCAAAUCGACAAUUCAAUCCUCUUCUAUUCUAUAAUCAAGAAACCCCAACGAUUCCUCUUUUGUUUGCGAUUCCAAUUUCCAAUCCAUGGAGUUCAUGAAUCCAUCGAUGGUUCUUAUCUAUAAAAGAGGAGACAGAUCUGCUGAUGGAUUCAAGUUUUUAUCCUCCAUCUUUACAUCUAUGUAUAGGUGAGUGACGAACAGGUCUUUUAACUUGCUGAUUUCAUACUCAUUUGAAUCAACAAUCCAUUUGAUUUGUUCAUUUAGGUUUUCCUAAUAUGGUUGUCUGAAUAAUACAUGGAAGUUUCUCAUUUCUGGGCGUCCAUCUCCCUUGUUUCUGUUUUGUUUUUAUUUCAAUUCUGAUUCUGCAGUUUCUGGCUUUUUUUCUCCAAGUCUGCAAUUCUGCAGUUUUAUAUGAAUUAUGCAAUUUAUGUUUCUACAAUUCUGCAGUGUCAUAUGAAUUAUGCAGUUUCUGUUUCUACAAUUGUGCAAUUUCAUUUCAAUUAUGUAAUUCUACUUUUUUUUUUAAUUAAGACAGGCUUUAUCCGGCAACCCGUGGAUCAGACGGGGACAGCCCUGGGUUUUAAAUUUGGCCAGUUUGGGCUGAGGCCAGGCUUUCAGAAACCUAGAAGCAAAGUCGGGCGGGGAGCGGAGGCGCAGUAUCCGGACCUGGAUGUACCAGUUGUGAAGACUACUUUCGGCACAGCAUUAAUAAUAUGACUUUUCGCUCGGUUAAAAAAAAAUACAGAGUAUACCUUGCUGUUGUCUAGAAGAAACUACUCUUCUCCGUUACACGAGCAGCAGAGUUGUGUAUUGUAAGGAAACAAGUAUACGAACGUCUAUUGUUUAGUGUUAACUAGGUUUCUUAGGACAUACGGCAGAAUUCCUCCAUGGUCAAAAUAGGCCAGCUCAACCUGCACAAAUUACAAUUGCUUCUUCCGUGAGUUACAAGGAGAUAACCUACACACAUUUGCGCAUUCAGAAUCC
rnacentral:lncRNA from 1 species